rnacentral:tRNA from 1 species
GCCUGGGUGGCUCAGUCGGUUGAGCAUCUGACUUCGGUUCAGGUCAUGAUCUCAAGGUUCAUGAGUUCAAGCCCCACGUCGGGCU